rnacentral:rRNA from 1 species
CCUACGGGAGGCAGCAGUGGGGAAUUUUGGACAAUGGGGGCAACCCUGAUCCAGUCAUUCCGCGUGAGUGAAGAAGGCCUUCGGGUUGUAAAGCUCUUUCGCAAGGGAAGAAAACUUAUGAUCGAAUAAAUCAUGAGGUUGACGGUACCUUGAUAAGAAGCACCGGCUAACUACGUGCCAGCAGCCGCGGUAAUACGUAGGGUGCGAGCGUUAAUCGGAAUUACUGGGCGUAAAGCGUGCGCAGGCGGUUUUGUAAGUCGGAUGUGAAAUCCCCGGGCUCAACCUGGGAACUGCGUUCGAAACUGCAAGGCUAGAGUGUGUCAGAGGGGGGUAGAAUUCCACGUGUAGCAGUGAAAUGCGUAGAGAUGUGGAGGAAUACCAAUGGCGAAGGCAGCCCCCUGGGAUAACACUGACGCUCAUGCACGAAAGCGUGGGGAGCAAACAGGAUUAGAUACCCUGGUAGUCCACGCCCUAAACGAUGUACAACUAGUUGUUGUAGAGUAAAUCUAUGAGUAACGUAGCUAACGCGUGAAGUUGACCGCCGUGGGAGGUACGGUCGGCGAAGUAAGUUAAACGUUAACUUAAAUAGUUAAGUUAGUACGGCGUUGAGACGNGCCGACGGACGACGACGAGGGAGGAGG